UACAGAGGUGGCAAGCGUUGUUCGGAUUUACUGGGCGUAAAGGGCGCGUAGGCGGUUCCGUAUGUCGGAUGUGAAAUCUCACUGCUCAACGGUGAAACGGCAUCCGAAACUACGGUGCUAGAGUGCAGGAGAGGAGAGCGGAAUUCUUGGUGUAGCAGUGAAAUGCGUUGAUAUCAAGAAGAACACCGGUGGCGAAGGCGGCUCUCUGGAAUGCAACUGACGCUGAGGCACGAAAGUUGGGGGAGCAAAC
rnacentral:rRNA from 1 species